GCCAUCUUAGCUCAGUUGGUAGAGCGAUUCACUCGUAAUGAAUAGGUCACCGGUUCGAGUCCGGUAGAUGGCUCCA
rnacentral:tRNA from 1 species